GGUGGCGCAAUGGCUCGGUGCAUCUGGCUGUUAACCAGAAGGUUGGCGGUUCGAGCCCACCCAGGGGCA